rnacentral:rRNA from 1 species
UACGGAGGGGGCUAGCGUUGUUCGGAAUUACUGGGCGUAAAGCGCGCGUAGGCGGCUUUGUAAGUUAGAGGUGAAAGCCCAGAGCUCAACUCUGGAACUGCCUUUAAGACUGCAUCGCUAGAAUCGUGGAGAGGUGAGUGGAAUUCCGAGUGUAGAGGUGAAAUUCGUAGAUAUUCGGAAGAACACCAGUGGCGAAGGCGACUCACUGGACACGUAUUGACGCUGAGGUGCGAAAGCGUGGGGAGCAAACAGG